UGUAGUCAAUGAUGAUUUUUCCCAAAUUACUGAUUGACAGUGAUUAAUAUAAAAGAUCACCAUCUUUCGGCUGAGGUUGCA
rnacentral:snoRNA from 1 species